rnacentral:rRNA from 1 species
UGUUUCCUACGGGGCGCAGCAGUGGGGAAUAUUGCACAAUGGGGGAAACCCUGAUGCAGCGACGCCGCGUGAGCGAUGAAGUAUCUCGGUAUGUAAAGCUCUUUCAGCAGGGAAGAUCCAAGGCGGUACCUGCAGAAGAAGCCCCGGCUAACUACGUGCCAGCAGCCGCGGUAAUACGUAGGGGGCAAGCGUUAUCCGGAUUCAUUGGGCGUAAAGCGCGCGCAGGCGGGGUGC